rnacentral:rRNA from 1 species
ACGAACGCUGGCGGCGUGCUUAACCCAUGCAAGUCGAACGGAAAGGCCCUGCUUUUGUGGGGUGCUCGAGUGGCGAACGGGUGAGUAACACGUGAGUAACCUGCCCUUGACUUUGGGAUAACUUCAGGAAACUGGGGCUAAUACCGGAUAGGAGCUCCUGCUGCAUGGUGGGGGUUGGAAAGUUUCGGCGGUUGGGGAUGGACUCGCGGCUUAUCAGCUUGUUGGUGGGGUAGUGGCUUACCAAGGCUUUGACGGGUAGCCGGCCUGAGAGGGUGACCGGCCACAUGGGGACUGAGAUACGGCCCAGACUCCUACGGGAGGCAGCAGUGGGGAAUAUUGCACAAUGGGCGGAAGCCUGAUGCAGCAACGCCGCGUGCGGGAUGACGGCCUUCGGGUGGUAAACCGCUUUCGCCUGUGACGAAGCGUGAGUGACGGUAAUGGGUAAAGAAGCACCGGCUAACUACGU